UAUGGGUUAGUGGCGGACGGGUGAGUAACGCGUGGGUAACCUGCCUUACACAGGGGGAUAACACUUAGAAAUAGGUGCUAAAACCGCAUAAGCGCACAGCUUCGCAUGAAGCGGUGUGAAAAACUCCGGUGGUGUAAGAUGGACCCGCGUCUGAUUAGCUUGUUGGCGGGGUAACGGCCCACCAAGGCGACGAUCAGUAGCCGGCCUGAGAGGGUGAACGGCCACAUUGGGACUGAGACACGGCCCAAACUCCUACGGGAGGCAGCAG
rnacentral:rRNA from 1 species